GGUUCGAUGGCGCAUGGUCCGCACCUGCAUCUACUACUAGGUCUAAGCGCAAUACUUAUAGUGCAGGAAGCGCCCGUUCGACUCGGGCUCGAACCA